ensembl:lncRNA
GGGAGGAUCUGCUCUGGAGGUGAAGUGCUGGCCGUGCCCUGCGAGCAGGUUGCGGGGAAGGCUUCCUUCCUCGGCCCGCUCCGCUGCCAAAAGCAAGGGGGAGCGGCAGAGUACGCUCAGUACGGAGCCGGGAGCAGGAGCGGGGUCACGCCUGUGUUUGUCUUCCGAGGUGACUGUAAAUGAAGUGCAACACAUGAAUGUAUUCCCCCUGAGAAAUGCAAUGAACUAUUUUUCCAUCGAUUGCAGUAAGAUUUCAUCAUACAGUGAAAUCAUUCUUCUGAUUCUUUCCAGCUCAAGGAAGAGACAUGGAUUAAACCAAUGGGAAGUGAGGAAAGCAGAGGAGCAAAGACAUAGGGAAGGGGCUUUCAGGAAUGCAAAUCAGUGAAGAAAAAAAAACUUUUUGAAGACAGCUGGAAAGCUUCAACAGUAAGUGACCUUGGAGAACCCUUGGAGAACCCCCAGCCAGCAGUGCCAGACCUUGGAUCAGGCCCAUGAGAAUGCAAUGCUGUGGAAAAUGAAUCACCUCCAUUUCUCCAGCAAGCUUCUUAACCUCCAAAUUCAGAAGUACAGCAAAGCUGACGACUGCACUGAGUAUUUGUUAAAGGCCAGCAGAAAGGAUCCCUGAGGAACAUCAUCUUCACAUGAAAUACGAAACAUCCGUUUUGUUAAGGUUAGAAGAUAAGGCAUAAUUAAAGAAACAGAAGGCUUGCGUGUUCUGACAAGGAGUGGCAGAAAUACUGAACCCUUCUUCUCUAACAGCAAUAGGAGGCUAAAAGAAGUCCUAGUAAUACUUCUCAUGAAAUCUACGCACUGAGGCCGCAGAAGGUGGAAAAGUUCCAGCACCGUGAUGUGAAAAUUAGUUUCAGGGUUCAUAAUACCUGUCAUUGCAGCCAGAAAACUCUAUGCCUCACUUGAUCUGAAGCUUCCCUUAAAAAUCUUGUGACUAUCAAUAUUGAGAAGAAACUUAGAAAAAUGACCUAAGACUACCC